GUCGAACGGAAAGGCCCUUCGGGGUACUCGAGUGGCGAACGGGUGAGUAACACGUGGGUGAUCUGCCCUGCACUUCGGGAUAAGCCUGGGAAACUGGGUCUAAUACCGGAUACACCUCAUGGACUGCAUGGUCUGUGGGGGAAAGCUUUUGCGGUGUGGGAUGGGCCCGCGGCCUAUCAGCUUGUUGGUGGGGUGAUGGCCUACCAAGGCGACGACGGGUAGCCGGCCUGAGAGGGUGACCGGCCACACUGGGACUGAGAUACGGCCCAGACUCCUACGGGAGGCAGCAGUGGGGAAUAUUGCACAAUGGGCGCAAGCCUGAUGCAGCGACGCCGCGUGGGGGAUGACGGCCUUCGGGUUGUAAACCCCUUUCAGCACAGACGAAGCGCAAGUGACGGUAUGUGCAGAAGAAGGACCGGCCAACUACGUGCCAGCAGCCGCGGUAAUACGUAGGGUCCGAGCGUUGUCCGGAAUUACUGGGCGUAGAGAGCUCGUAGGUGGUUUGUCACGUUGUUCGUGAAAACCCACAGCUCAACUGUGGGCGUGCGAGCGAUACGGGCAGACUAGA
rnacentral:rRNA from 1 species